rnacentral:lncRNA from 1 species
UGUAAUAAAGAUAAUCUAACGUUUUACCUAAUGAUAUAUAAGGAGGGCAUUUGCACAACAUGUUUCACAACAGCACACAACAAAAUUCCAGAGACAUAUUGAGCGACCAACUGAUACCAAUCACGACCACACCCAGAGACAGAUGGCUGACUUAAGCCCUAGCCACACGAACUGACCACUGGUGUAAAGAACAACAUUCCAUGAAUAUCGCAAGCACCCAGACACGAAUUACCAGAAAUACACACACACCCACACACACACUUAGGUGUGUUGGACUCCGAGGACAAAGGACACUGCCAAGGGCCAAUGGGAAGUCGACACCACCUGGAGAGUGGACCGUCCCUCCACUCAUCGACCAGUCAGGAGAGCGGACCUAUUAGACUCAACAUCAACACACUGUUAUUUCAUUGUAUAAAUUGGAUGUAUACUAUGUUUCGGGGCUCUCUUCUGCUAGUUCCCUAUGAGCUAAACGAAGGAGUCCGUGCACGCUUUGCCAAAUAUCUUUGUCUCAUAAUAAACUGCCUUACUAUAAACUGAAUCACCCGGUCCAGCGUCUUGACUUGUCUCCUUCUCAAAUAACUAAUCAUCAACAGAAUUGGUAGCAGAGGAUGGUUUCAAACUCCUGAAUUCGGUCCAUUAAUGGUUGAUGUGAGAAGAGACAAGUCCAGGACAAUCUUGUAAGGACGGGUGACCUGUCCGCAGGAGUCAUCGGCGAUUCUGCUUGCCCCGGGAAACUGAUCAACGAGCUCGAUUAAAAAAAAGCUCUCUCCACACAGAUCCGCAAGGUCAAAGAGGGGGAGCUGUUGGGAGACUCGCCACCACUGAAGGUAAAAGUUGGGGACUGGGUGAGGGUCAAAGUCCACAAGAGAAAGUGGCUGGAACCCAGGUGGACUGGGCUGUACGAAGUGAAGGAAGUUACUUCACACUCUGUCCAGGUCAAAGGUAAAUCAGGAGCACCUUGGCACCACCUUACACAUUGCACUCCAGCCCCAACCCCUUCCAGAACUUUGACUGAAACCAGGGCCGAUUUGCGCGCCCUACAUAAAUUUGAUUCCAACCACUGAAACCUUAGUUGGGGAAAAUGGGACAAUGGCUUCCGUUUCCACGACCUAAGGCACCACGCCCAGGGUCGGGGUACAUCCCUCCCUGGGAGAGGCUGGGGAUAUCAGCUCCCGUUUGUUAUUUUUGUGAGUGUACACUACUAGGCUGAUCACCACCGCUAUUGACCCUGGUCAGGUAGAUAGGGGCCUAAUGUUUCCUUUGCUUCAGGUGGAAGACACUGAACCCGAGUAUGCAUUCGAAUAGUUUAGUUUUCACGCCUGCCACGCGGGAGGCCCGGGUUCGGAUCCCAGCCCAUGCACCAUGGGACUAAAAUGUAAGAAGAUAUGUUUUGCCUGGAGAGAUACGGUUGCUAGCGUUUGUUUAAGAUAUAAAUGUAACGUUUUGAUAGCUUGAUUAGUUUAAAUUGAAAGGCUAACUAAUUAGAAAAUAAUAGCGAGAGAAUUUUGAUAUAAUACGUUCUCUGUUGCUGGAAAUGGCAUACAGAGAAAGAGUUGAAUGAUGUUAUUUUUAUAAGUAUGGCGAUUUACAUGGUACAUAUAAGGACAUAGACAUUUCAUAAGUGUGAAGCCGAAAGAGAGAUACAGUUGGAAUAUUGGUUUUAAUCUUGUGAUAGAGGAAAGGCAGAACGCGUUUUGUUUUGUGAUAAAUUCUGGUUAUUGAUUCGUGGUAUUGAUUGUUUAGUAACACCAGUGAAUUGAACAUUGCAAGGAAAAAUAUCAAGUCAUUAAGGUGAAUUACAGGUGGAGUUAAUUUUAUAAUUAACUGGGAAGGUGCACAUUAAUCACAGUUGUGUAUAAUGGCAGGGUAUUCCUAGCAAACAGAAUGUGCCGGUUUGCAGACAAACUGAAAGGGUUUUAGGGUUUUAAGCAAUCUUGGGUCAAAUUGGUUAAAUAGUACGUUAAAAUAUGGGGUUUCAUAGAUUGAAGUACAGUAUUGUAUCCAAGGGUAGCGCAUGUUCAAUUAAGUUUAAAACUAAUGAUUGGGGGGAGUACAAUGGAAGUAUAAGCAUUUUUAGGUUUUGUUUGUAGUUAACUUUUGGGUUUCUGAAUCGGUGUAGUAUGAGGAAAUGCUGACCAAGUGGUUAUUUUAUGGAAUAUGGAGCGCUUAGCUCUUUGGGGAAAAAUUCCUAGGGACAGGAUAUCUUAAAGGGGUAGACACACAUGGCAUUUUAAAGUUUUAUUUUCUGAGUUUUAAUUUAACACGUGAAAUUCUUUUGAUAGGGAAUGUUCUAGGAACUUGAGAUACGAAAUGUAGAUAAGGUUAUUAGCUUUCAUUUGUCUAAUGUAGUAAGAAAGAAAAAACGGUUCUGAAAAGGGGUUAUGACUUUUUUGACCCCACUGGUGACUUUUCCUUUUGUGGUCUGAUCAGCCGCAAUGAAAAGCCAUUGGAUGGUGAAUUUAAGGUCAUUUGGGAUACUAACUUUAAGGAAGCUAGGAGAACUGAUAAUUAUGAUGGAGUUAAAGUUCUUAGACACAAUUGAUCAUUUGAACCAAUGAGAAGACAAAAUGACGAAAAGGGUACAAUAAUUUUUCUUUGGGGAGUAGUUCAGAUUAGUCAUUUUGAUCUGAUUAUGUUACGUGAAUAUCGUUUGAUAAGUAGAGGUACUUUUUACAUUAUCUAGAUAAGUUUAUUUUCCCUUAGGAAGUCAGCUGUGGUUGUAUUUAGUGGAAGAGAUUUAACACAACAAGACUGUGGAAUUAAUAUAAUAGUAAUAUUAUAUUUUGUUGAUAAAACAGGUUAAUAAUGGUAGACUUAAGCCAACAGGACAGGAAUAUAUGACAUCUGUAGGGAAUCCAGGAUUAUUGAGGGUAUCGAGAUAAAUGUAAGUAGCUAUGUAAUAAGACCAUGAGACAUUUAGUACUCCCCUGCACUGCUGAGACCUUGAUGGGUUGGAAGAAGAAGGAGGAGAGCAUAAACAAGGAAGAGAAGAUAAAAGUAACAUAGAAGAAUUAGAUAACGGUUAGUGAGUGGAGACCAGCAUAGUUAAAUUAUAAACAGGUGAGGACAGAAAUAACACUGGAGAGACAGAAAAGACAUAAGAAUAGAAGAUGUUAGGUUCAUUGCUGUACGUAAAUUUUAGAUAACACAGCUCAUGUUUGGGAAAUGGAAAAGUGUUGCAAGAACUGUAUUAUGGGCUGCUUUCACCUGUAUGAGUGUGUUUGGGUUGUGUGGUUGUUGUUUGGUCCCGUGUGCAAGAGGUUUAAUCACCAGAACUCUAGAGAGAUGAUAACGGAGCAGAUGGUGAGCUACGGACCGAGUCAAAGUUCAGAUCAAUGAGAUGACAAGUACCUACCGCCGAGCAAGGUGGAGGAUUCAUUCAAAUAUGAGGAGCACAUGUUAGAUGAGACCAUCUAUUGGGAUGCAUGAAUUAGUUU